GAAAUGCGAUAAGUAAUGUGAAUUGCAGAAUUCCGUGAAGCAUCGAAUCUUUGAACGCACAUUGCGCCCUCUGGUAUUCCGGGGGGCAUGCCUGUCCGAGCGUCAUUGCGAACCCCUCAAGCACGGCUUGUGUGAUGGGCCCUCCCGCGUCUUGGUCGUCAAGACGGGCCCGAAAAGCAGUGGCGGCUUCGCGGUUAUCCGAUCAGCCAGAGCGUAUGGGGACUUUCUCUCUGUCACACGCCCGCGGCGCGGACCGACGCCUGUCGACCUUUAUUCAUCUUUUUCUCGGUUGACCUCGGAUCAGGUAGGGAUACCCGCUGAACUUCAGC
rnacentral:misc_RNA from 1 species